rnacentral:rRNA from 1 species
UAAGGAAUAUUGGUCAAUGCCCGCAAGGGUGAACCAGCCAUCCCGCGUGCAGGAAGAAGGGGCUCUGCCUUGUAAACUGCUUUUGCAUGGGACGAAAGAAUAAGAUUUAUCUUAAGUUGACGGUACCAUGAGAAUAAGCACCGGCUAACUCCGUGCCAGCAGCCGCGGUAAUACGGAGGGUGCGAGCGUUAUCCGGAAUCACUGGGUUUAAAGGGUGCGUAGGCGGUUGUAUAAGUCAGUGGUGAAAGGCCGUAGCUUAACUAUGGGACUGCCAUUGAUACUGUAUGACUUGAGAGAGGUUGAGGUUGGCGGAAUGUGGCAUGUAGCGGUGAAAUGCAUAGAUAUGCCAUAGAACAUCGAUUGCGAAGGCAGCUGACUGGACCUGAUCUGACGCUGAGGC